CGCGUAGGCGGGAUGGCAAGUCGGUCGUGAAAUCCCUCGGCUCAACUGAGGAAGGUCGAUCGAUACUGCCGUUCUUGAGGAUUGCAGAGGAGACUGGAAUUCCCGGUGUAGCGGUGAAAUGUGUAGAGAUCGGGAGGAACACCGGUGGCGAAGGCGGGUCUCUGGGCAAUUCCUGACGCUGAGGCGCGAAAGCGUGGGGAGCAAACG
rnacentral:rRNA from 1 species